AGAGUUUGAUCCUGGCUCAGGAUGAACGCUGGCGGCGUGCCUAAUACAUGCAAGUCGAACGCUUCACUUCGGUGAAGAGUGGCGAACGGGUGAGUAAUACAUAAGUAACCUGGCAUCUACAGGGGGAUAACUGAUGGAAACGUCAGCUAAGACCGCAUAGGUGUAGAGAUCGCAUGAACUCUAUAUGAAAAGUGCUACGGGACUGGUAGAUGAUGGACUUAUGGCGCAUUAGCUGGUUGGUAGGGUAACGGCCUACCAAGGCGACGAUGCGUAGCCGACCUGAGAGGGUGACCGGCCACACUGGGACUGAGACACGGCCCAGACUCCUACGGGAGGCAGCAGUAGGGAAUUUUCGGCAAUGGGGGAAACCCUGACCGAGCAACGCCGCGUGAAGGAAGAAGUAAUUCGUUAUGUAAACUUCUGUCAUAGAGGAAGAACGGUGGAUAUAGGGAAUGAUAUCCAAGUGACGGUACUCUAUAAGAAAGCCACGGCUAACUACGUGCCAGCAGCCGCGGUAAUACGUAGGUGGCGAGCGUUAUCCGGAAUUAUUGGGCGUAAAGAGGGAGCAGGCGGCACUAAGGGUCUGUGGUGAAAGAUCGAAGCUUAACUUCGGUAAGCCAUGGAAACCGUAGAGCUAGAGUGUGUGAGAGGAUCGUGGAAUUCCAUGUGUAGCGGUGAAAUGCGUAGAUAUAUGGAGGAACACCAGUGGCGAAGGCGACGAUCUGGCGCAUAACUGACGCUCAGUCCCGAAAGCGUGGGGAGCAAAUAGGAUUAGAUACCCUAGUAGUCCACGCCGUAAACGAUGAGUACUAAGUGUUGGGAGUCAAAUCUCAGUGCUGCAGUUAACGCAAUAAGUACUCCGCCUGAGUAGUACGUUCGCAAGAAUGAAACUCAAAGGAAUUGACGGGGGCCCGCACAAGCGGUGGAGCA
rnacentral:rRNA from 1 species